rnacentral:rRNA from 1 species
UACAGAGGUGGCAAGCGUUGUUCGGAAUCACUGGGCAUAAAGGGCGCGUAGGCGGCGAGGCAAGUCGGGUGUGAAAUCCCUCAGCUCAACUGAGGAACUGCGCCCGAAACUACCUUGCUAGAGUGCAGGAGAGGAGAGUGGAACUCCUAGUGGAGCGGUGAAAUGCGUAGAGAUUAGGAGGAACGCCGGUGGCGAAAGCGACUCUCUGGCCUGUAACUGACGCUGAGGCGCGAAAGCCAGGGGAGCAAACGGG